rnacentral:rRNA from 1 species
UGUCCUACGGGGGGCAGCAGUGGGGAAUCUUCCGCAAUGGGCGAAAGCCUGACGGAGCAACGCCGCGUGAUCGAAUGAAGGCCUUCGGGUUGUAAAGAUCUGUUGACAGGGACGAAUAAGCAAUGCGAAUAGUUUUGUGUAUGACGGUACCUGUUUAGAAAGCUCCGGCUAACUACGUGCCAGCAGCCGCGGUAAUACGUAGGGAGCAAGCGUUGUCCGGAAUUACUGGGCGUAAAGGGCGCGUAGGUGGGCGCUUAAGUCAGUGGUCAAAUUGAGGGGCUCAACCCCUUCCCGCCAUAGAAACU